AGAUUAAGUUAUUAAGGGCGCACGGUGGAUGCCUUGGCACUAGAAGCCGAUGAAGGACGUUACUAACGACGAUAUGCUUUGGGUAGCUGUAAGUAAGCGUUGAUCCAGAGAUUUCCGAAUGGGGGAACCCAGCAUGAGUUAUGUCAUGUUAUCGACAUGUGAAUUCAUAGCAUGUCAGAAGGCAGACCCGGAGAACUGAAACAUCUUAGUACCCGGAGGAAGAGAAAGAAAAAUCGAUUCCCUGAGUAGCGGCGAGCGAAACGGGAAGAGCCCAAACCAACAAGCUUGCUUGUUGGGGUUGUAGGACACUCUAUACGGAGUUACAAAAGAACAUGUUAGACGAAUCAUCUGGAAAGAUGAAUCAAAGAAGGUAAUAAUCCUGUAGUCGAAAACAUAUUCUCUCUUGAGUGGAUCCUGAGUACGACGGAGCACGUGAAAUUCCGUCGGAAUCUGGGAGGACCAUCUCCUAAGGCUAAAUACUCUCUAGUGACCGAUAGUGAACCAGUACCGUGAGGGAAAGGUGAAAAGUACCCCGGAAGGGGAGUGAAAGAGAACUUGAAACCGUGUGCUUACAAGUAGUCAGAGCCCGUUAAUGGGUGAUGGCGUGCCUUUUGUAGAAUGAACCGGCGAGUUACGAUCUGAUGCAAGGUUAAGCAGCAAAUGUGGAGCCGCAGCGAAAGCGAGUCUGAAUAGGGCGUUGAGUAUUUGGUCGUAGACCCGAAACCAGGUGAUCUACCCUUGGUCAGGUUGAAGUUCAGGUAACACUGAAUGGAGGACCGAACCGACUUACGUUGAAAAGUGAGCGGAUGAACUGAGGGUAGCGGAGAAAUUCCAAUCGAACUUGGAGAUAGCUGGUUCUCUCCGAAAUAGCUUUAGGGCUAGCCUCAAGUGAUGAUUAUUGGAGGUAGAGCACUGUUUGGACGAGGGGCCCCUCUCGGGUUACCGAAUUCAGACAAACUCCGAAUGCCAAUUAAUUUAACUUGGGAGUCAGAACAUGGGUGAUAAGGUCCGUGUUCGAAAGGGAAACAGCCCAGACCACCAGCUAAGGUCCCAAAAUAUAUGUUAAGUGGAAAAGGAUGUGGCGUUGCCCAGACAACUAGGAUGUUGGCUUAGAAGCAGCCAUCAUUUAAAGAGUGCGUAAUAGCUCACUAGUCGAGUGACACUGCGCCGAAAAUGUACCGGGGCUAAACAUAUUACCGAAGCUGUGGAUUGUCCUUUGGACAAUGGUAGGAGAGCGUUCUAAGGGCGUCGAAGCAUGAUCGCAAGGACAUGUGGAGCGCUUAGAAGUGAGAAUGCCGGUGUGAGUAGCGAAAGACGGGUGAGAAUCCCGUCCACCGAUUGACUAAGGUUUCCAGAGGAAGGCUCGUCCGCUCUGGGUUAGUCGGGUCCUAAGCUGAGGCCGACAGGCGUAGGCGAUGGAUAACAGGUUGAUAUUCCUGUACCACCUAGUAUCGUUUUAAUCGAUGGGGGGACGCAGUAGGAUAGGCGAAGCGUGCUGUUGGAGUGCACGUCCAAGCAGUAAGGCUGAGUGUUAGGCAAAUCCGGCACUCAUAAGGCUGAGCUGUGAUGGGGAGAGGAAAUUGUUUCCUCGAGUCGUUGAUUUCACACUGCCGAGAAAAGCCUCUAGAUAGAUAACAGGUGCCCGUACCGCAAACCGACACAGGUAGUCAAGAUGAGAAUUCUAAGGUGAGCGAGCGAACUCUCGUUAAGGAACUCGGCAAAAUGACCCCGUAACUUCGGGAGAAGGGGUGCUCUUUAGGGUUCACGCCCAGAAGAGCCGCAGUGAAUAGGCCCAAGCGACUGUUUAUCAAAAACACAGGUCUCUGCUAAACCGUAAGGUGAUGUAUAGGGGCUGACGCCUGCCCGGUGCUGGAAGGUUAAGAGGAGUGGUUAGCUUCUGCGAAGCUACGAAUCGAAGCCCC
rnacentral:rRNA from 2 species